rnacentral:rRNA from 1 species
CCUACGGGAGGCAGCAGUGGGGAAUAUUGGGCCAUGGGCGCAAGCCUGACCCAGCAACGCAGCGUGAAGGAAGAAGGCUUUCGGGUUGUAAACUUCUUUUCUCAGGGACGAAGCAAGUGACGGUACCUGAGGAAUCAGCCACGGCUAACUACGUGCCAGCAGCCGCGGUAAUACGUAGGUGGCAAGCGUUCUCCGGAUUUACUGGGUGUAAAGGGCGUGUAGGCGGGAAAGCAAGUCAGAUGUGAAAACCAUGGGCUCAACCGGUGGACUGCAUUUGAAACUGUUUUUCUUGAGUACUGGAGAGGCAGACGGAAGUCGUAGUGUAGCGGUGAAAUGCGUAGAUAUUAGGAAGAACACCAGUGGCGAAGGCAGUCUGCUGAACAGCAACUGACGCUGAGGCGCGAAAGCGUGGGGAGCAAACAGGAUUAGAUACCCUGGUAGUC